rnacentral:piRNA from 1 species
UGCAAAGCUGUAUUUAACUUGAUGUUUGUC